GACGAACGCUGGCGGCGUGCUUAACACAUGCAAGUCGAACGGAAAGGCCCUGCUUUUGUGGGGUGCUCGAGUGGCGAACGGGUGAGUAACACGUGUGUAACCUGCCCUUGACUUUGGGAUAACUUCAGGAAACUGGGGCUAAUACCGGAUAGGAGCUCCUGCUGCAUGGUGGGGGUUGGAAAGUUUCGGCGGUUGGGGAUGGACUCGCGGCUUAUCAGCUUGUUGGUGGGGUAGUGGCUUACCAAGGCUUUGACGGGUAGCCGGCCUGAGAGGGUGACCGGCCACAUUGGGACUGAGAUACGGCCCAGACUCCUACGGGAGGCAGCAGUGGGGAAUAUUGCACAAUGGGCGGAAGCCUGAUGCAGCGACGCCGCGUGCGGGAUGACGGCCUUCGGGUUGUAAACCGCUUUCGCCUGUGACGAAGCGUGAGUGACGGUAAUGGGUAAAGAAGCACCGGCUAACUACGUG
rnacentral:rRNA from 1 species